GUAUUAGUACUGAACGGAAGAAAUCCAAACCUUUGUGAUUUGACUUUGAUUAGUGCUGCCUCACGCUGCAAGCAGUACUUCAGGAAGAAAGCUGAAUUUAUUGCUGUUGUUUCUCACUUCCCAUCGGCAACGCAUGGCAGCACCUAGCCUAAAGCUGACCAUUAUAUUUCAUUUAAGAAAAAGGUAUAGAAAAGAAAAAUACAUUUUGAUGUGUCUGCAUUUUGUCUACACUUCAAAGGCACUGGUAUUUUAUGGCCACUUUUUUUUUCUCACCCCCCCCCUCAGAUAAUGAUGUGAUCCCAUCAAGACAGAGUAAGGAAGCAGAGCGUGGUAGUGGCUGGGAAACAGGAGGUGACCAUCAAGUCCUCUGACUUCUCCUCAGUGCCCCUUGCUUUCCUGCAAAUAACUGCUGCUUCCCUGCAGAUAACUGCUGGCAAUGCUGAGCACAUCUGAAUGCUCCUGGUGUGGACCUCAAGCAAGUUUAGCUCAGACACAGUCUCAAAGUGUACUGUACAGCAAACAACAAAAUGAAUCAAAACCAAAGAACCCACUUAUAACAAAAAAUGUAUUUAUUUGUUCCUUACCAAGCAAAAUCACAUCUUAAGCUCUGCUCUCCUUGGGACUGAAGUGCUGCUAGAAAAGAACUAAGUACUAUUGUUCUGGUAGAGAAAAGGAGGUUGGGAAUGCUGAAACCACAGAAGGGAUGAAGAAUCAAAGCAAGAAACACCCAGGAUAUUGUUGUGACCUUGUAUCUCUGGGGAGAUGCAGGAAUCUGAAACAGUAGUUGAGAAACAAGCUGUCUGUUUGAGGGGAAGAUGGGGCAACCGCUACACUGGACGCACUUUGCUCUCUUAUCCGUACCCAGUUGCAGUAACUUCAGUGGGAUUUUACCACAUACUCACAGUGACUUUGGCCCAUUUGCAUGCCUGGAUGUGUGCACACGUGUUUCACAGAACUGCAGCUCAGACAACCAGGAUUUUCAAUGUCCUCAGGCAGCAAACCAGGCGAGCCAAAAACAAGUCUGCAGCUUCCUCAGUCAGGAAGAGGGGAGCUAAAUUCAGUCACUAA
rnacentral:lncRNA from 1 species